UACGUAGGGGGCAAGCGUUGUCCGGAAUUAUUGGGCGUAAAGAGCUCGUAGGCGGUUCGUCGCGUCGGCUGUGAAAACCUGAGGCUCAACCUCAGGCCUGCAGUCGAUACGGGCGGACUUGAGUACUGCAGGGGAGACUGGAAUUCCUGGUGUAGCGGUGAAAUGCGCAGAUAUCAGGAGGAACACCGGUGGCGAAGGCGGGUCUCUGGGCAGUAACUGACACUGAGGAGCGAAAGCGUGGGGAGCGAACAGG
rnacentral:rRNA from 1 species